GACGAACGCUGGCGGCGUGCUUAACACAUGCAAGUGGAGCGACGAACCAGGGCUUGCCCUGGGGCAGAGCCGCGAACGGGUGAGUAACACGUGGGUAACGUGCCCCGAUGAUCGGGACAACCCGGGGAAACCCGGGCUAAUACCGAAUGUGCUCCCCUCACACCAGUGAGGGAUGGAAAGGAAGCUUCGGCCUCCGCAUCGGGAUCGGCCCGCGGCCCAUUAGCUUGUUGGUGAGGUAACGGCUCACCAAGGCUGCGAUGGGUAGCUGGUCUGAGAGGACGAUCAGCCACACUGGGACUGAGACACGGCCCAGACUCCUACGGGAGGCAGCAGUGGGAAUCUUGCGCAAUGCGCGAAAGCGUGACGCAGCAACGCCGCGUGGGGGAAGACGGCCUCGG
rnacentral:rRNA from 1 species